GCAUGGCUGGCUCAGUCAGUAGAGCAUGUGACUCUUAAUCUCAGGGUCGUGAGUUCAAGCCCCAUACUGGGUC
rnacentral:tRNA from 1 species